AUAGAAACGAUAUCGUAUUAGAACGAGCGCAUUAAUAUAAACCUGUGAUUUGGCUUGGAGCCGGAACUACUGUCCGAGCUGCUGUUUAUACACACCUCGGGAAUUCAGCAGCGUGGUGGUAUAAACGCAGAGAACAAGACUGUUAACUUAAUGGAUUUAUUAAAAAUAAAAAAAAAACAUCCACAGGCGGCUGCUGUCGGGGAGAACACACAGGUGUGAAACGACCAGAACCCAAUCUCCUAGACAGAUUGAAUUCGGGCAUGAAGAGCUCUUCUCUUCAGAUAGAGAUAUGUGUAAACACAUGCAGAAUUACAGCAGAUUUUCUGCGGAUUCGUUCCGAGACGCAUCACGUGACGUUAUCCCAACGCACAUUCAGCCAAAGUCCUGUUCGAACGAAAAGGAAGAUGAAUAGAUCGGGAUAAACUGCUGAUGUUUGUGGUCUCCUUACUAAAUGCCAGAGGAAGCCAACCCAUCAAACCCCCCCUCCCCCCGGCAGCUCUGGAGUAGAAGAAGGAGGAGGAGGAGAUGAUGGACUGUUUUAUUAAACAAUUGUAAAUAUGAAGAAUUAAAACUGCAGCUCAAGAGCACCUGAACAUCUCUCUAGUGGAAUAUUAAAGAGGAACACACUCUCUCUCUCUCUCUCUCUCACACACACACACACACACACUGAUUCCUGGUGAAUUAGGAAAAUGUAAGUCUUUUAUUUUUCUCCAGACGUCUGGAUUGUAAUUUAAGGAGAAGAUGGAGUUGAGCAGCGUUUGUGGAAAGCAGAUGCAUGGAAAUGAAUUCAAUUUUUGCUUUUGUUGCGAGUGUGAGAGUUUGUUAGUGUUUGUUAGAGUUGAUCAAAGUCUAUAAAGAGAAGCUUUUUAGGGUUUGGAAGUUUUUCAAAAAUCUGCUGGAAAUUAGGUUUCGCUAAAAGUCUGAGGAAGCGGUGUUUCUGCUUUAUUCUGAUAAACUACUGAAGACUGCGAGCGAUCCUCUAAACAAAUCAACUUUACAUUUUUAUUUAUUCAGCCUGCAGACGCUUUUAUCCAAAGUGACGGAUAAAUGAUGCCAAAAGCCAUCAAAGCACAGUUUGAGGACUCGAGUGCUCAGAUACAGUGCAGGUUGCUUCUAGUACGUAUUGUGUGUGUGUGUGUGUGUGUGUGUGUGUGUGUGUGUGUGUGUGUAUGGGGUAUAUAUGUAUGUGUGUGUGUGUGUGUGUGUGUGUGUGUGUGUGUGUGUGUAGUAUGUUCGUGUGUGUGUUUGUGUGUAUGGGGUAUAUAUGUAUGUGUGUGUGUGGUAUGUGUGUGUGUGUGUGUGUGUGUGUGUGUGUGUGUAUGUGUGUAUGGGGUAUAUAUGUAUGUGUGUGUCUGUGUGUGUGUGUGUGUGUGUGUGUGUGUGUGGUAUGUUUGUGUGUGUGUGUGUG